GUAGUGGCGGGUUAGGACUAUACUUUCAGGGAUCAUUUCUGUAGUUGGUAACUAGAGGAGUGUGAUCGAAAGUGUCCGGCGUCACAAACCACGAGGAGGAGCAGCGUGUUCUCUCCUGAGCGUGAAGCGGGCGGGCGGUGCUGCUUGUGCAGGAGCCGCCCGUCAUUGAUGACCGUUCCCGUCCCACUUGGUUGGGUCUGGGAGGGAGAGAACGCAGGCUGAGUGGAGGAGCAGCGUGUUCUCUCCUGAGCGCGAAGCGGGCGGGCGGUGCUGCUUGUGCAGGAGCCGCCCGUCAUUGAUGACCGUUCCCGUCCCACUUGGUUGGGUCUGGGAGGGAGAGAACACAGGCUGAGUGGUUUGUGCCUCAUUAAAGGGUUAAAAAAACAGAGUUCAAGACUAAAAGUUGAGUCUAAAUGCUCGUCUCUUUUUUUAUGGCCUGGCUCCUGGAAUACUUUUUUCUUGUCGGUGGGAUGUUGUGCU
ensembl:lncRNA